GGCUCCAUAGCUCAGGGGUUAGAGCAUUGGUCUUGUAAACCAAGGGUCGCAAAUGCAAACCUCGCUGGGGCCU
rnacentral:tRNA from 1 species